GAGGGUCUAGCUCAGUGGUAGAGCCAUGCUUAGCACGCAUGAAGUCCUGAGUGCAAUCCCCAGUACCUCCA
rnacentral:tRNA from 1 species